GAUGAACGCUAGCGAUAGGCUUAACACAUGCAAGUCGAGGGGCAGCGAGGGUAGCAAUACCUGUCGGCGACCGGCGCACGGGUGAGUAACGCGUAUGUAACCUGCCCGCAACAGGGGGAUAACCCGGCGAAAGUAGGACUAAUACCGCAUAAAACAGGGGUCCCGCAUGGGAAUAUUUGUUAAAGAUUUAUCGGUUGCGGAUGGGCAUGCGUACCAUUAGGUAGUUGGUGAGGUAAGGCUCACCAAGCCCUCGAUGGUUAGGGGUUCUGAGAGGAAGGUCCCCCACACUGGUACUGAGACACGGACCAGACUCCUACGGGAGGCAGCAGUGAGGAAUAUUGGUCAAUGGGCGAGAGCCUGAACCAGCCAAGUCGCGUGAAGGAUGACUGCCCUAU
rnacentral:rRNA from 1 species